UUCCCGCUGCCGCUCUCUUUUCCCCAAUAUAAACCUAUCCCCUCUUCUUUCUCCUAGAUCUGGUUCCUCUCCUUCUGGUUUCUUUCGUUUCUUGCCCCAGAUUCGAUCAGUUUCUUUACCCGCGUUUCGAUUAUGGAAUUUUGCUGUUUCGUUUUUGGUCGGUAUCUUCAUUUUUCGCAGACUCCGGCUCGUUUUCGCUGUAGAUCUGCGGAGUUUUGGUGAUCGAACGCUUCUGGAGGUAUCUUUGGUUCCUGCCUUCUUUGGAGUCUGAAUCAGAGGGGAUUUUUGUGGUUUCAUUCAAGCAGUUACAAACGAAUUUGGAUCUGCUCCGUCUCUAUUUUCAAUGGUUUACUUUCGUUUUGAGGUGUCGAAAAGAGAGUCUUGUAGGACUUGUGAUCAGCCUUGGGAUCGGAUCGUGGUGGUGGAUCUGUGUACUGUGAUGGAGUCGUUGAGCGCGGAAGACGCCUGGGAUCUUGGAAAUUACAAGCGGUUUUGAUGUAACAUACCUUUCCUUUCCUGUUUGUUAUUAUAUCAGUCUGAUCCAUUGAUAGAGCCGCGGGUGGUUAUUAUAUAUGACACCUGCAGGUAUUAUCGUAGGAUAUGAUAAGAUGGUUGUAGCCAUGUAUCGACCUUUGCCAUGACGGGUGCGCUUGCAUGGCAGGUCAAAGAUGCUUAAUAAAAUUUAUUUUUUGGGGGGUUUUGGGGGGAGACGGCCCUAGCUUCUUCUUUUCCAUUUUGGGCCGGCCUCCUCCCAUGUGUGUGUGUGCGUGCUCUCUCUCUCUCUCUCUGUCUCUCCCCCUCUAAAUGGCCCGAUCGCUCUCUUUUUGGUGUUAUAUGCCCAAGUAAGUGCGUCAUUGGCUGUGGCUAUAACAUUGACACAAACAGACUACGGAUGAAGACAUGAAAGGUACAAAGUAUAUCUGUUCACUCGCUAAAAGGUGCAUCAAUCUUCAAUAUCUAGUUUGGUUACCCAAAAGGUUAUGUUCUUUGAAUCUGAAGUCUGUUGGUCAAUCAGCAUGGGUGGCAAAUCAAAUUCGUAAUCACACAAGGUAUUAACUGCCAUUUGCACUCGAACAAAAGGAGCAUCAAUCUUCAAUAUCAAGUUUGGUUUCAAAAAGGGUAUUAUCUGCUAUUUGAAUCUGAAGUCUGUCAUUCAAUAAGCAUUGGGUUCUGCCAAAUCAAGUUUUUAAUCACACAAGGUAUUAACUGCCACUUGAGCUAGAACAAAUGGUGCAUCAAUCUUCAUCAAGUUUAGUUCCUCAAAAGGUAUUAUCUGCUAUUUGAAUCUAAAGUCAGUUCUUCAAUAAACAAGGCUUUUUUAUAUGCUAUCUAUUCAUUUUCGUUAUACUUAGCGUAAGGAUUUUGAUCAUACUUACUAUCAAAACGAAGAUAAAAACGUUAAAAAGGAAUCGUGUUUUUCGACUACAAUAUGCCCUAUCAAGGUAAAACUUAUAUUCUCCGCUAUUUACAACCCCGGGUACGCCAUCUUCUAUAAAGGUCUGUUAUUAUUUUUGUACACAUGAUUAUGCGUCUUAAUGAGCUUAUUUUAAGCAUGAGCCGGUUAUUUUUCAACUCAAGGUGAAUAUAUAUGCGGUAGAUAUCAGCAACCAUUCCUAUAAGUUGUUAUCUGCACUCAUUCUUGUUAGUUUCCAUUGCACGCGCAAGCUGCUACUCUUCGUUAAAAGAUGGCAUUUCAUGAAGAUUUAUUGAGUACAAAUUCUGAUAUGCAAUGAUACAAGAAUGAGGAUGCGAAUUUCAAUUGAAAUGCAUCUUUUAUUGUUGUCCUCUUCUUUGUACAUUUGCAAUGAAUUUAUGCUCUUAGUGAAAUUUGCGUGGUGUUUAUCAUUGUAGUCCACUUAAUUUUAGGCAUGGGGAAUUCGGUAUUGUACUUUUAUCAGUGGAUCCUUAAAUGAAUUGUGGGGUUGCCUUUAUGUCAUAUUGUAAUUUCUUCUUGAUAAUGAUGAGUGCCGUCUGUAGAGCAAUUUGCUUCCAAUUGCUGGAAUUGGGUUGUCUUCCUUUGACACACCAGAAUCAUUGCUGUUGAAGUUCGGUAGCAAGUAUGGAGUUGCAGGCAUGCUUUCGAGUUCAUUGAUGUACCAGAAUCACUGCUGUUGAAGUUUGGAAGCGAGGAUGGAGUUUCAGGCAUCUUUUCAAGUUCAUUGAUGUUAUGGCUUGCAAAUAUGUGUUGUUUUGACUCCUAACCUGCCAUUCCUAGCCACGGAAGUGUUCUGUUGGGUAUCAAGGAGAAUUUCUUUUGUUUCGUUCUAGAGCUUCUGAGAUAUCGUGUUUUGUGGUAGAGUUUCUGUAUCCUGUUUUUUGGUGUAAAUGUUCUGCAACAGAGUGUCUGCUUUCGGUCUUUUUGCUUCUCUCUUGGAGCCGGAGAUUUGUUGAUGAAGAAUUUUUGUUUUUUCAUUCAAAUUUGGAGAUAUGACUGGAUUUGUUUCUUACUCAACCUUGACCAGUUUAGAAGUGCGAAACAAAUGCUUAUCUGCUGCAAGAUUGGGAUUUUCUUGUAUUUUUGGGGUUUUUGAGGACUGUACAAGAGCUACUUUAGGUCAGCGGGUGUUUGUGGGUUGUGGCAUAACACUUGAAUCUUCAACCUCAGAAGGUCAUUAUUAUAAUUCAACCAGGGGAUUAGAAGACUUUCUGCUGAAUACUCUUCAUGCUUGUGGAUCUGAGACAUGCUUGGAAUUGUGAUUUUACUGAAGUUUGAUCGGCAUAAGGUGUUCAACAUUUGAUGGAUUUCUGGGCUAUUCGUCGUAGUAAAAUCUUCAGCCACAGGAGGUCAUUAUUGUAAUUCAAAAUCUUCCAUGGGAGGUCCGUGCGUGCGGAUCUGAGACUGAACUUUGAUCGGCUUCAAGUGUGAUAUAUGUAUUUCUGGGCUAUAUUCAUCCUACUAGGAUGAUGAAGGCUAUUAAAGGUAAAAAGCAAUUCAUGAUACGGUUAUACCCAAUUUUUAGUU